AGUGAACGCUGGCGGUAGGCCUAACACAUGCAAGUCGAACGGCAGCACAGUAAGAGCUUGCUCUUACGGGUGGCGAGUGGCGGACGGGUGAGGAAUACAUCGGAAUCUACUUUUUCGUGGGGGAUAACGUAGGGAAACUUACGCUAAUACCGCAUACGACCUACGGGUGAAAGCAGGGGAUCUUCGGACCUUGCGCGAUUGAAUGAGCCGAUGUCGGAUUAGCUAGUUGGCGGGGUAAAGGCCCACCAAGGCGACGAGCCGUAGCUGGUCUGAGAGGAUGAUCAGCGACACUGGAGGUGAGGCACGGUGCAGAGUGCUACGGGAGGCAGCAGUGGGGAAUAGGGGACAAUGGGCGGAAGCCUGAUGGAGGGAUGCGGCGUGGGUGAAGAAGGCGUUCGGGUUGUAAAGGCGUUGUGGUGGGAAAGAAAAGCAGCAGGUGAAUACCCCGCUGGUCUGACGGUACCGAAAGAAGAAGCACCGGCUAACUUCGUG
rnacentral:rRNA from 1 species